rnacentral:rRNA from 1 species
UACGUAGGGUGCAAGCGUUAAUCGGAAUUACUGGGCGUAAAGCGUGCGCAGGCGGGUUUGUAAGUCAGAUGUGAAAUCCCCGGGCUUAACCUGGGAACUGCGUUUGAAACUACAAGGCUAGAGUGUGACAGAGGGGGGUGGAAUUCCACGUGUAGCAGUGAAAUGCGUAGAGAUGUGGAGGAACACCGAUGGCGAAGGCAGCCCCCUGGGUUAACACUGACGCUCAGGCACGAAAGCGUGGGGAGCAAACAGG